rnacentral:rRNA from 1 species
AUUGAACGCUGGCGGAAUGCUUUACACAUGCAAGUCGAACGGCAGCACGGGGGCAGCCCUGGUGGCGAGUGGCGAACGGGUGAGUAAUACAUCGGAACGUGCCCGGUCGUGGGGGAUAACGUAGCGAAAGUUACGCUAAUACCGCAUACGAUCUGAGGAUGAAAGCGGGGGACCUUCGGGCCUCGCGCGAUCGGAGCGGCCGAUGUCAGAUUAGGUAGUUGGUGGGGUAAAGGCCUACCAAGCCGACGAUCUGUAGCUGGUCUGAGAGGACGACCAGCCACACUGGGACUGAGACACGGCCCAGACUCCUACGGGAGGCAGCAGUGGGGAAUUUUGGACAAUGGGCGCAAGCCUGAUCCAGCCAUUCCGCGUGCAGGACGAAGGCCUUCGGGUUGUAAACUGCUUUUGUACGGAACGAAAAGGCUCUGGCUAAUACCUGAGGCUCAUGACGGUACCGGAAGAAUAAGCACCGGCUAACUACGUG